rnacentral:rRNA from 1 species
CCUACGGGUGGCAGCAGUGAGGAAUAUUGGUCAAUGGGCGCGAGCCUGAACCAGCCAAGUAGCGUGAAGGAUGACUGCCCUACGGGUUGUAAACUUCUUUUAUAAAGGAAUAAAGUGAGGCACGUGUGCCUUUUUGUAGGUACUUUAUGAAUAAGGAUCGGCUAACUCCGUGCCAGCAGCCGCGGUAAUACGGAGGAUCCGAGCGUUAUCCGGAUUUAUUGGGUUUAAAGGGAGCGUAGAUGGGUUGUUAAGUCAGUUGUGAAAGUUUGCGGCUCAACCGUAAAAUUGCAUUUGAUACUGGCAGCCUUGAGUACAGUUGAGGUAGGCGGAAUGCGUGGUGUAGCGGUGAAAUGCUUAGAUAUCACGAAGAACUCCGAUUGCGAAGGCAGCUUACUAGCCUGCCACUGACAUUGAGGCUCGAAAGUGUGGGUAUCAAACAGGAUUAGAUACCCUAGUAGUC